rnacentral:rRNA from 1 species
AAACUUAAAGGAAUUGACGGGGCCGCACAAGCGUGGAGCAUGUGGUUAAUUCGACGCAACGCGAAGAACCUUACCAGGGCUUGACAUCCCCUGACCGCGUAUGAAAGUACGUUUUCACCCUCGGGUGACAGGGAGACAGGUGGUGCAUGGUUGUCGUCAGCUCGUGUCGUGAGAUGUUGGGUUAAGUCCCGCAACGAGCGCAACCCCUACGUUUAGUUGCUAACGCGUGAAGGCGAGCACUCUAGACGAACUGCCGUUGACAAAACGGAGGAAGGUGGGAUGACGUCAAAUCAUCAUGCCCCCUAUGUUCUGGGCUACACACGUGCUACAAUGGCCGGUACAGACGGAGGCGAAGCCGCGAGGCGGAGCAAAUCCGAAAAAGCCGGUCUCAGUUCGGAUUGCAGGCUGCAAUUCGCCUGCAUGAAGUCGGAAUCGCUAGUAAUCGCAGGUCAGCAUACUCGCGGUCGAAUACGUUCCCGGGCCUU